GAUGAACGCUGGCGGCGUGCUUAACACAUGCAAGUCGAACGAAGCACUUUAUUACGAUUUCUUCGGAAUGACGAUUUAGUGACUGAGUGGCGGACGGGUGAGUAACGCGUGGGUAACCUGCCUUAUACAGGGGGAUAACAGUUAGAAAUGACUGCUAAUACCGCAUAAGCGCACAGGAUUGCAUGAUCUGGUGUGAAAAACUCCGGUGGUAUAAGAUGGACCCGCGUCUGAUUAGCUGGUUGGUGAGGUAACGGCCCACCAAGGCGACGAUCAGUAGCCGACCUGAGAGGGUGACCGGCCACAUUGGGACUGAGACACGGCCCAAACUCCUACGGGAGGCAGCAGUCGGGAAUAUUGCGCAAUGGAGGAAACUCUGACGCAGUGACGCCGCGUGCAGGAAGAAGGUUUUCGGAUUGUAAACUGCUUUAGACAGGGAAGAACAAAGACAGUACCUGUAGAAUAAGCUCCGGCUAACUACGUGCCAGCAGCCGACGG
rnacentral:rRNA from 1 species